CCAUCUUGCUUGAUGAUGGUUUGAUGUUCUCAGGGUUCAAGACUUCACCUUGUCUUGAUUUGACGAGCUCAGCGUUCCUAUUCGUAACCUCUGUGUUCCUGUCUCAUUUGAUUGUGUAACGUGGUUUAGUUUAGACUUUGGUUUGUAUCCAGAUGAUGGUAUCCAAGCCAGCUGACCGGCCUCCUGUGUUUGGCUUCUUGCCUUUUUCUUACUCUGUUUGUUUUCUCAGUUGUACAAAAUCGUCUCAUUUUUUUUACUCUGUUAUCAGAACUUGUCGUUUUUUUACGGGCUUGUUUUCGUCCCAUCUAGUCGCACACGUCGAGCAGCAGCUGCAGCGUGGACCGGACCGCCACCAAGUCCCGGGUCACACCAAGAAAGCUUCUGAAUACUAUAACUAGAUCCAGUAACGCUCUGACAUCCGCUGCUCAUCCUUCCCUCAACGCUCGGCGCUCCAGUAACUUCUGUCUGGUCGGCUCCCAUAAGAUCACGCUGGCCUCGCUGGGACACAGCAAGUUCCCUCUGGACAAGAUGAAGCUUGAAGGCAAAAUCAGGAGGCUGCUGGGAGAUGAGUUUCAGGAAAAGGU